UUUUUUAGUAGAGACGGGGUUUCACCGUGUUAGCCGGGAUGGUCUCUCGAUCUCCUGACCUCGUGAUCCGCCCGUCUCGGCCUCCCAAAGUGCUGGGAUUACAGGCUUGAGCCACCGUGCCCGGCCUAAAAGGAAUAAUUUUAUAUGAAUAAUGUUCAUUAUACAAUCUUUUUAUGCUAGUUUUCAGUUAAUCAGGCAGAGCUGACAGUCUCCAUGAGGAAUCAUAAAAAUAAUCAACCUUAUCCCAGAAGAAUUGUCAACCAAGACAAAAGCCAGAGGGAAAUUAAUUUUCUUCACCUCUUAAUAUUUGAUCUACAAAGAAAUUUGUUUUGUGACUUUUCUUGCCUUUAGAAUAGAAACUUGAGACAUAACCUCUUGGAAAAAUUUGCAUAUUAUUUCUAACAAAGAUGUUAUGACCUUCUAUCAGAGCUCGAUGCCACUCAAGUUGCCAUACAAGAACUAAGUUCCUAUAGAGGUACAGUGACAGCUGUUGGGUUGAAUGCCGGCAGAGAAAUGAGAAAACAUCAAGGUACUGAGUAAUUUUGUUAUUCAUGGCUGUUUUCCAGAUUGCUUCCUCUUUAAAUGAACCCACAAGAAGUGUAGAGGUGAGUAUAAGCUAUGUUUCCUAGGAAACGUUAAAGGUAAAAUUUCAAGUGUCAGAAUAAUUACUUUGACUCAUUUGAGUCAAUAGAGAUGACAAAUGUUAAAAGGGCCCAGAAAAGUUGCUCUUGCAGAAUGCUUGUUUAGAUUUCAGUAUUUGAGAAUGUUUUAAGUUAUCCUGAAGUCUACUAUAAAGUUCUACACCAAAUUAUUUUCAAUUUAAUGUAUAGGGCAAACAAACUCUAAUCAUUCUUUUAGGAGUGAAGGUUGUUCACAGUACCUAAUUAUAUACCUAAUUAUAUAGUAUUAGAACAUCAGAAAGGAUGAGCAUCCCUGCUAGGAGCUGUGGGUUUAGGGCCCCAGGAUGACCUGGGAAAGCUAGGCCUCCCUGGUAUAGUUUCAAUAAGCAGGAGCUUGGAGUAGAAGCAAUAUUUCUAUUGUGAUUGUACCAAGCACUGUGCCUGGCAUAGAGUAGAUGCUUAAUUAAAAUUUAUUAAAUAAAUGAAUGUUCGUGGAUUACUCACUUAAGCUUAGUGAGCUGGCUUGAUAAUAUCUGCCUGGGCAGCAAAAAUAGCUCCAAAUUCAUUAUUAUUACCGGGAGAACAAAUUCAUAUACAAAGGAUAUCAUUUUUUCUUACCAAGUCAGUGUUUACCAAGAGAAGAAAACAGUAACAGUACAAUAUUUAGUUUAGCCAGAUUUUAACAUGGUGCCCAGCUCUCCUAAAGCACUGUAUUGCAGAUUAGGUUGGGGAAGAUGUGUGUCAAAAUUUUCUCUCAAGCUCCCUGCAAAAGCAUCUCUUCCAAUCUCCUGGUGGUUCCCACUCCCUUUCUGUUGAAGCCCGCCAGGUUUCCUGCCCAUUACCACACACUCACAAACUGGCGGAAACAUUCUUUGCUCCUCUUUUUGAUAACCUUAUUUUACAAACAAAAAAAAUGUCUAGAAUUGGUAUUUAAAAAAAAAAAGCACAAUAGCCUGAUGCAUACAUCUCAAUGCAGCCUAGGACAGAGAAGUCUCCAGUCUCCAGUGUAUCUAUGGCCGCUCCUCAGCUUCCCGUGUGCUCUGCUGGCCCACACUGCUUGCCAGCAGUCCUUACAUCAAAAAGGUUGAUAAUGCAUCCAGCCCUACCCUACUCUUCUGCUGGCACCAUGCUCACAAAGCUGUUUUAUAAUUCUUAUUCUCAUUUUUGGAGAUGCGCAUGCAUGGAAAAAUUUUACACAAUAUGGAAUGUUCUGGGGUAGGCAAAUGGAAAAUGAACAUGGCCGCCUCUUCCCCCAGGAUGUCCAUAUGUCUAUUUUUUCUCACUAUAACUUUACAGGGACUGUAUUCAUAUGGUUCUGCUUUAUGGGCUUAUAUGACUGAUAAACAAACCUAACUCAGGUAUUUUAAUUCAGAGCAGAAGAGCUUCCGAAAACUGAUACUUUCUGCUAUGAAUGUUCUGUUUCAAAAUCUGGAACAUCCAGGAUAUAAGAUACAUUGUCUUUUUUUUUUUUUUUAAGGUAGGUUCCAUUCAAAGUACAAACUCAUGAUAAAAAUUGCUGUAGCAGGAGUGUCAGUCUGCAAAUUGCUUUUCAGCUGAAGGAGCUUUGUUUCCUAUUGAAUAAUAGCUCCCAGGCAUUUCUACUUAUGAUUGGUGGAGGAAAUCCUCCUGUCAUAGCACAUUAGGGUUUGAUGCAUUUGCUUGAAAUCUCCAAAUCUGCCAGAGAGGUACCUCUGUAGUAAAGCCACCGGCAUAGUUUGCUACAGGGAUCUGGGUGAACUUUCAUCACAAAUGUGAGUUAGCAAUGUUCCUCCUCAAAACUAGGGAAGACCUACGUAUGUCAAGGGUUCUGACCAAUUGAAGCGCUACAAAUUAUCUGAUCAAACCUGACCUAUUUUAGAUCUACUAGACCAGUCUAAGAUAACCCAGAGCAGUAAGAACCUAAGAACAGGAACUUUCUGUUGUGCAUAAAGUGUUGCUCCUGGUGGAGAUGAGUUCUGACCUUCCUGAAGGAAGGUUCUAUGUUUUAAUUAAAGUACUUAGAGAUCCUAAAAUGAUGCUCUUCUAGCAAGCACCCAGUAAAUGCUAAUGGUUUUCCUUUUUGAGGGGAGAGAGAAAUCUUUGUCCAUCAUUCUGUGAUAGUGUAUAUAUAGCUAAUGCAAAUGCGAGUAGCCUCUUACAUGGGGAUUAGGCUCUAAAUCUAAUGAAAAAGACAUAUCAUUACACACAGUAAAAAUGACCCUAAGUUUCCUUUAAAUUGACCGUAAAGUGUAGUAUUCACGGUGUUGUUAACAUAGCAAUAAUUACUAUAACCCCAGAUCUGAGAGCCUCUGAAAGCCUAUAUCCAAAUGUGUGGACAUUCAAGCCUUCCUUCCUUCUAGAUUACUAUCAGAUUUUUGAAGUAAAUGGAGAAUGGAUGAUAAGGGAUUGUAGAAUAGUCUUGCCUGAUCAUAGCGAUUAUAUUUUUGUUUUAAAAUUAAGCAUCUAAAAUCAGUAUAUGUUUAUAUAUUUCUUUAUUUUAGAAAGGAUUAAACAAGAUGGUAAAGUUGCACCUUAGGUGGCACUGAAUUCUAACAUUGCGUAAAUUAUGCAACUCCAUUAUUUUUGAGGCAUUAAUUACAUGACUGUAGAUUAUGUAACCAUUUUGGGGGGCAUAUGGAGCAGGCAAUUUUAGUUACUUAGUGUUUUCUUUAAAUCACUUUAAUUUGUCACCUUUUUUCUAGGCUUUUUAGCCACGGUUAAUAGUGAUAGUAAUCAGGUAAGAGUAUUAAAAUCAUAGAUUAUCUGGGUAUGAAGGAUCCUUUAUCCACAUAUCUUCAUUCAUGUUUUGAUAAUUCUCUAGAAUAUCUGAAUUGACACUUUUUGAGUAUGGUCAUCCAACCAUUUACACAUACUCAAUGUGUAGAAUUGAAUAAAUGAACAUUUUCUGAAGACUUUCAGGUUAGAUUUUGUCAACUACUGAAAUCUGGAUUUCACUGUGCAAUACUAGUGUUAUGGACAUAGUAAAUCUGUCAAACAAGGAAUUAAAGUAAGAGUAACGUGAUUUGUUAUUGGUGAGCAUAUACAGGAUCCCAAGGACACUUGCUUUUCAAAGUACUCAUAUACCCACCUAUUAAAUCCAUUCUAGAAUAUUGCUUUUGAUCAAUGUGAAGCUUGUUAGCUCUUGAAAUUCCCCAACAUAGUAGAUUCAGCAAUAAAAUUUAUCUGUCUCUAGUCUUCCAGCACCUUUCCCAUUUCCCAAAAUCCUUCCACAACAGUGGACAAUGAUUUGUUAAUCUCAUUUAGGAGUUUUGCAGAUACUUGGAUAGAGUUCAUUCCAUUCCAAUUACUAGAAUUCCCUUGGGAGGGCUACAUGUUCUCUUUUCAAGGGCCAGAUGUUUGGUGUCAAUCUUGAUGUUCACAAUUCUUUCUACUGUCUUCUGAUAUGAUGUGCUUAUGUGAUGUGGGGGUUUUGCAAAGCUUGUCACUGGGACCCCCACUUUACUUUUAGUUAAGACACAAAGGUUUUUAUCUGGUAAUUUAUGAAAUACAAAUCUAUUUCCAUCAAGAAUAAGAACCUCGGCAAGAUGUUUUUGAUCCUGGUGUGUCCUAGCAUUCCAUCAUUCUCAAAUGGUGCCAGUGGUGGCACAAUUCAUGACCACCAGGCACACAACCUCCCAUAGCAGCAGCCACUGCCACACACCACAACCCCACUGCUAUUCUCAAUGACUUGUUUUAAUGCAGUCUAAUAACUUCCCCCACAAAGAGCUCUUUCAUAUAGAGAGUUGCCACAGAAAUGAAAAACCCUAUAUAGGGUUUUUCAUAUAAUGAAUAUAAUGACACAUUCAUAUAAUGAAUACAUAUAUACAUACAUAUAAUACAUUCAUAUAAUGAUCCAAGCAGAGUAAUUCAGAAAUCCACCAACUUAAACAUUUAUCUUUUCUUUAUGCAGGGGGUACUUAUUAAAAAAUUAUAGCUUACCAUUUGGUAAUUGACUAAAAUAUUUCUGUGUUCUCUUUGUGCCACUGAAACCUGAUAGACUGAUUUUGCUGCUGAAUUGAGAUAAAAGUAUAGUUUCUAGCAUGGCGCUUAGCACAUAGUAGAUACUGAGUCAAAGUGAGUUUGUUUCUCUUACCAUGGCCUUGGUGGUACUGCUUCAUUUUAUACCUUCAAUAAUCAGAAAUGGCAAGAAAGGAGGGUGGAAGGUGAAGGGGGAAUAUAAGUAUUUACUUGAAUACAUCUCAGGCUAUUCCUAACACACACUAUAAAUGCAUCAGUUAUACGCUGUUGACCAACUCCCUGAUCAAAGCUUCCCAGUGGCUUCCAAGGCUCCAAGGUCCUAUCUAAUCUGUUUCCCCUCUGCCUCAUUCUGUUCCAGCCACAGUGACCUCCUUGAUGUUCUUCAACACACCAGGCACAAUCACACUCCAGGGUCUUUAACUUUAUUGUUGCUGCUGCCUGGAAUACUGUUCAUUCAAUAUUUGCAUGGUUUAUUCCUCACUACAUUCAAGUCCUAGUUCAGAUAUUUCCUUAGCAAGGUUCCCUCAUGACACCUAAAAAUCAUAAUCUUUUCUUUGCUUAGGCACUCUCCAUCUCCCUUACUCUCUUUUAUUUUUCCAUAGUAUUUAUUACUCUCUAAUGUCCUAUAUAAUUUACUUAUGUGGAAUGUUUAUUGUCUGUAUCUUCCUAUACAUGUACAAAUACACAGAGACACAGACACACAGAUGUACACACAGAAUGUAGGCUCCAUGAAGGAAGGGAAUUUUUUCUUCUGCCCACUGCUGUAUUCCCAGUGCCUACAAAAGUAUGCUUGGAAGUAGUAGUUUGCACAAUAAAUAUUAAUUAACUUAAAAAAUGUAAAUGGGCCGGGCGCGGUGGCUCAAGCCUGUAAUCCUAGCACUUUGGGAGGCCGAGACGGGCGGAUCACGAGGUCAGGAGAUCGAGACCAUCCUGGCUAACACGGUGAAACCCCGUCUCUACUGAAAAAUACAAAAAACUAGCCGGGUGGCGGGCGCCUGUAGUCCCAACUACUCGGGAGGCUGAGGCAGGAGAAUGGCGUGAACCCGGGAGGCGGAGCUUGCAGUGAGCUGAGAUCCGGCCACUGCACUCCAGCCUGGGCGGCAGAGCGAGACUCCGUCUCAAAAAAAAAAAAAAAAAAAAAAAAAAAA
ensembl:lncRNA